AACUGAAUCCAUAGGUUAAUGAGGCGAACCGGGGGAACUGAAACAUCUAAGUACCCCGAGGAAAAGAAAUCAACCGAGAUUCCCCCAGUAGCGGCGAGCGAACGGGGAGGAGCCCAGAGCCUGAAUCAGUGUGUGUGUUAGUGGAAGCGUCUGGAAAGGCGCGCGAUACAGGGUGACAGCCCCGUACACAAAAAUGCACAUAUUGUGAGCUCGAUGAGUAGGGCGGGACACGUGGUAUCCUGUCUGAAUAUGGGGGGACCAUCCUCCAAGGCUAAAUACUCCUGACUGACCGAUAGUGAACCAGUACCGUGAGGGAAAGGCGAAAAGAACCCCGGCGAGGGGAGUGAAAAAGAACCUGAAACC
rnacentral:rRNA from 1 species